GAUGAACGCUGGCGGCGUGCCUAAUACAUGCAAGUCGAGCGAACGGACGAGAAGCUUGCUUCUCUGAUGUUAGCGGCGGACGGGUGAGUAACACGUGGAUAACCUACCUAUAAGACUGGGAUAACUUCGGGAAACCGGAGCUAAUACCGGAUAAUAUUUUGAACCGCAUGGUUCAAAAGUGAAAGACGGUCUUGCUGUCACUUAUAGAUGGAUCCGCGCUGCAUUAGCUAGUUGGUAAGGUAACGGCUUACCAAGGCAACGAUGCAUAGCCGACCUGAGAGGGUGAUCGGCCACACUGGAACUGAGACACGGUCCAGACUCCUACGGGAGGCAGCUGUAGGGAAUCUUCCGCGAUGGGCGAAAGCCUGACGGAGCAACGCCGCGUGAGUGAUGAAGGUCUUCGGAUCGUAAAACUCUGUUAUUAGGGAAGAACAUAUGUGUAAGUAACUGUGCACAUCUUGACGGUACCUAAUCAGAAAGCCACGGCUAACUACGUG
rnacentral:rRNA from 1 species